GGCAGGGGCAGUCUUGCCGCUCAGAUGGUGGCUCACGGGGCCGUUCAACUUGACCAGCCACGUGAUGAUGUUCCUCGCCGAAGGAACGGAGAUUCUCGCAUCGCGUUGACACUGGUGGCUCAAGAACGGCAGCCGGACCUGGAGGAGAUGGUCCCUGGUGGAGCAUCUGCUUUUACCAGAUCAAGCGCGGCAUCCUGUACCUAGAAGCGGUGUAUCCCACAUAGUGCAACCGGUAUCAUCUCGCUCACAGUGGUGGAGGAGGACAUGGCGCCUAGCUCGAGCCGGUGGCAGUGAGCACGACGCAUAGCUUGAGCCGAUCACGGUGCCUCUGACGCCCAAUGGGCGACAAAACCAAGAUUUUCUUUAACUUUUAUGUGUCUUUGGUCUUCUGAACAAGGGACUGAAGUAAGUAUUUCCCUAUCAUGUUCAAGGUGCUUACCUAUUUUGAUUAAGUUGUAGUCUCCUUUCACUAAGUAGCUGCAUCAAUGAAUGUGGGAGUUGCUUUGCCAAUAUAGUUAAGUUGCAUCUACCACUUAAUUAAGUUUGAUUAGACAUCUUAGGUUGUUCUUCCCUAGAUUUUUUUUAAUGGACUUUGAUUUCUGAAUUAAGUUGUCCCGCAAACAUAGUUAAGUUACUUGCGCCAUUUAAUUAAGUUGAUUAGAGAUCUUAGUCUAAGUUUUUUUAGUUUACUUUCUUAAUAUUUUUGAAGUAUCUUUUUCUUUAUAGAACUGUGACUGAAACAACUCAAGCAAGAAUCCCAACAACUAAAGAUAUUUCAGAGGCAACUCAUGUUUAAGUUGUUUUUUGCACAUCGAUGGAGUGGUAUUUAUUGAUUUAUUUCACUAGUCAAAUAUCCAGACAUUAAGUUGCUUAUCCGUUUAAGUUGAUCAGCCACCUUGAGAUAUGUUGUUUAUUACACAUCAUGGGCUUAGGUGUUGUUGUUCUUGUCUGACUAGAGAAUCAUAACUCCUACAUUGCUUCUGAUUACAAUACUUUGUUGCUUUCACAUGUGUCCCUAAGUUGUUUAUAAAUACUUUGUUGCCUCACACAUGUUCUAAGUUGCUUAUAUAUACAUUACUUUGUUGUCUCAUACACGUUCUAAGUGGCUUACAAAUAAUAUCCGAUGAUUAUACAUAAUGUUGUCUCGCAAAUUAUACUUUUUUGCUAAGUUGUCGAUUACUGUAAUACUUUGUUGCCUCAUACAUCCACUAAGUAGGUUACACAUAAUGUUGAUCAUCUUUGGUUUUGAAAUCAUUGCCUCACAUAGAUAAUUAUUUUCUGACAACAUAGUUAAGCUGCUUCUCCAUGCUACACUUGCCACUUUUAAAACUAAGUUGCUUUCCAAUAGAUAUAGUAUUGAGGUUUCAUGAAAACUGAUCAUAGUUUUGAUAUUCUAUUUGGAACUUGUAUUUACUUGCAGAUUAGUCACAUCAAUUUUUUUGGUACUAUAUGCUUUCUUAACUUUUUAUUUCCUUGUAGAUCAGUGGCCAUU